UACGAAGGGGGCUAGCGUUGUUCGGAAUUACUGGGCGUAAAGCGCGCGCAGGCGGUUCUACAAGUCAGUGGUGAAAGCCCGGAGCUCAACUCCGGAACUGCCAUUGAAACUGCAGAACUUUGAGGAUGAGAGAGGUGAGUGGAAUUCCCAGUGUAGAGGUGAAAUUCGUAGAUAUUAGGAAGAACACCAGUGGCGAAGGCGGCUCACUGGGGCUUUUCUGACGCUGAGGAACGAAAGCCAGGGUAGCGAACGGG
rnacentral:rRNA from 1 species